rnacentral:lncRNA from 1 species
AUCUUGUUUCUAAUUUAAUGGAAAAAGUAGUGUUUGUCUUCAUCUCUUCUAACUAUUUUUGGUUUGAAGUCUAUUUUACCAGGUAUUAUAAUAGCUAUGCUGGCUUAUUUCUUGGUUCCACUUGUUUAGAAUAACUUUUUAUAACUUCUUACCUUAAGGUACUGUUUAUUGUUGAUUGUUAGGUGUUUUACUUAGGGGCAGCAAAAAGUUAGAUUCUGUUUUCUAAUCUAAUAUGUUAGUCUGCAUCUUUUUAGAAAAAAACUGAUUUUCCAUGUAUGUGUGUAUGCAUGUAUGUGUAUCAUGUGUGUAUGGGAGCACACAGAAUUCAGAGGAAGCAUCAGAUCCCCUGGAACUGGAGUUACAGAUAGUUGUGAACCAUCAUGAAGGUUCUGAGAACUGAACCUAGGUCUUCUGGAAUGGAGGGAGAAGACUCAGGUUGUCACACUUGGAAGCAAGCAACUUUACUCCAUGAACCAUCUGACCAGCCCAGGGCCUCAGCCAGAUUUUCUUCUGCAGAGCAAUCUGGAACUAUAUCUGCAAAAACAAGUACAUCAUCUCUCAUGCUGUCUCGGUGAUACAUUAAAGGCUAAUUGUUCCAUAGCAUCAACAGACAGAAGAGGCAUGCUUCCAAUCUUACCCCAUAGAAGAAUUUUCUCAAGUGAAACUUUUCCUUCUUCAUGUCAACUUCAUUAGUUUCUUACAGAUAUAUGUCAGUGUUGAAAAGUAUAGAGGCUUCAGUGAUAAAUGUCUCCUACAGUCUUGAGCAUCUGAAUACUUGGUUCCAGUUGGUGACAUUGUUUGGGUUUGCAGCUCAAGAUGUAAGCUCUGAGGAUGUGAGCUUGCUGCUCUAGCUGUCAUGCCUGCCACUUCCUCAUGCUGGUGAUGGACUCCUAUCCCUCUG